CGCACGCGCUGUCGCUAGGCGACGAGGCGUCGCUCUGGGCGCCCGCGUAGAAUCUGAGCUGCAGGAGAGGUAUUAAAACUGCAGAUGUAAUGGAUCAGGAUCACUUUUCAGUGAAUUUCUCAACUUCAGGGUUUCCAGACCAUACAGACAGGGUCUCACCCUGUCGCCCAGGCUGAUCUCAAAU